CGGUGGUGUAGUGGUAGCACACAUCCCCGGUAGGGAUGAAACACGGGUGCAACUCCCGUCUGUGCUCGA